GCAAAAUCUAACAAAUAGUACCAAACAAGCCCUAACUAUACUAUGCUUAAUUUUUGUUACAUAGAAAAUACAGUCGCGCAAGAAGCUUAAAUCUAUUCUCUGCCAGGGCCAUCUCACUUCUUCAAUAUAUGCUGUCUUUAUCCAUAGAUCCGAACUCCAAGAAAAGUACUUCUAAUCAAAUGCAAUUCUUUAGCAACAUCCCUCAUGCUCAUUCUGUCUUUGGGUGAUUUUGCCGAACAGGCUACUCCAACUUUGAAU
rnacentral:misc_RNA from 1 species